UACGUAGGGUGCAAGCGUUGUCCGGAAUUAUUGGGCGUAAAGAGCGUGUUAGGCGGUUAGGUAGGUCCGUUGUGAAAACUCGAGCUCAACCUCGAGACGCCGAUGGAAACCCCCUAACUAGAGUCCGGAAGAGGAGAGUGGAAUUCCGGGUGUAGCGGUGGAAUGCGUAGAGAUCCGGAGGAAGACCGGUGGCGAAGGCGGCCUGCUGGGCGAGUUACUGACACUGAGGCGCGACAGC
rnacentral:rRNA from 1 species